rnacentral:rRNA from 1 species
GAUGAACGCUGGCGGCGUGCCUAAUACAUGCAAGUAGAACGCUGAAGGAAGGAGCUUGCUCUUUCCGGAUGAGUUGCGAACGGGUGAGUAACGCGUAGGUAACCUGCCUGGUAGCGGGGGAUAACUAUUGGAAACGAUAGCUAAUACCGCAUAACAGUAGAUGUUGCAUGAUAUCUACUUAAAAGGUGCAAUUGCACCACUACCAGAUGGACCUGCGUUGUAUUAGCUAGUUGGUGAGGUAACGGCUCACCAAGGCGACGAUACAUAGCCGACCUGAGAGGGUGAUCGGCCACACUGGGACUGAGACACGGCCCAGACUCCUACGGGAGGCAGCAGUAGGGAAUCUUCGGCAAUGGACGGAAGUCUGACCGAGCAACGCCGCGUGAGUGAAGAAGGGUUUCGGAUCGUAAGGCUCUGUUGUAAGAGAAGAACGAGUGUGAGAGUGGAAAGUUCACACUGUGACGGUAUCUUACCAGAAAGGGACGGCUAACUACGUG